ACGAAGGGGGCUAGCGUUGCUCGGAAUGACUGGGCGUAAAGGGCGCGUAGGCGGCUGUCACAGUCAGAAGUGAAAUUCCUGGGCUCAACCUGGGGACUGCUUUUGAUACGUGGCGGCUUGAGUGGGGAAGAGGGUUGCGGAAUUUCCAGUGUAGAGGUGAAAUUCGUAGAUAUUGGAAAGAACACCGGUGGCGAAGGCGGCAACCUGGUCCUUGACUGACGCUGAGGCGCGAAAGCGUGGGGAGCAAACAGGA
rnacentral:rRNA from 1 species